UGCUGCACGUUCAGAGCUGCGGCUGAGCUUAGAAACAAAAUCACGGCUCUGCCCUGAGUCGUGACACUGGACGUGAGCGCUGUGAGCGGUCCCUGCCAUUCCAGCUCAGGGAUGCUGUGGAGCACGAGGUCUCAAGACUUCCUUCAGUCGUUAUAAACACCACAGAAAAGUUAUCUCAAACAGAGAAAUAAAAAAAAAAACAAACUCAAUCAAAGGGAUUUCAGUAUAACCAAGUUAUCCCAACAUGGAUUCUCUCACCAAGGGAAGAACAUCCAGUCACAGACUUCCCACCUAACAAAGAACAACGAAUUUACUCCAGAUUUACUCCAGAGUCUGCAGCCUCAGUCACACAAACCUAGCAGGAAAGCAAAAAAAACUUUCAGGUGAGUGCAGCCUGGAAGACACCCCACUGCCAUGGGAUACAUGAAAAUCCAUC